CCUACGGGUGGCAGCAGUGGGGAAUAUUGGACAAUGGGCGCAAGCCUGACCCAGCAACGCCGCGUGAAGGAAGAAGGCUUUCGGGUUGUAAACUUCUUUUCUGAGGGACGAAGAAAGUGACGGUACCUCAGGAAUAAGCCACGGCUAACUACGUACCAGCAGCCGCGGUAAUACGUAGGUGGAAAGCGUUAUCCGGAUUUAGUGGGUGGAAAGGGCGUGUAGGCGGGCAAGCAAGUCAGAUGUGAAAACUCAGGGCUCAACCCUGAGACUGCAUUUGAAACUGUUUGUCUUGAGUGCUGGAGAGGGAAGCGGAAUUCCGGGUGUAGCGGUGAAAUGCGUAGAUAUACGGAGGAACACCAGUGGCGAAGGCGGAUUGCUGGACAGUAACUGACGCUGAGGCGCGAAAGCGUGGGGAGCAAACAGGAUUAGAUACCCGUGUAGUC
rnacentral:rRNA from 1 species